GAUGAACGCUGGCGGCGUGCCUAAUACAUGCAAGUCGAGCGAACGGACGAGAAGCUUGCUUCUCUGAUGUUAGCGGCGGACGGGUGAGUAACACGUGGAUAACCUACCUAUAAGACUGGGAUAACUUCGGGAAACCGGAGCUAAUACCGGAUGAUAUUUUGAACCGCAUGGUUCAAAAGUGAAAGACGGUAUUGCUGUAACUUAUAGAUGUAUCCGCGCUGCAUUAGCUAGUUGGUAAGGUAACGGCUUACCAAGGGAACGAUGCAUAGCCGACCUGAGAGGGUGAUCGGCCACACUGGAACUGAGACACGGUCCAGACUCCUACGGGAGGCAGCAGUAGGGAAUCUUCCGCAAUGGGCGAAAGCCUGACGGAGCAACGCCGCGUGAGUGAUGAAGGUCUUCGGAUCGUAAAACUCUGUUAUUAGGGAAGACCAUAUGUGUAAGUAACUGUGCACAUCUUGACGGUACCUAAUCAGAAAGCCACGGCUAACUACGUG
rnacentral:rRNA from 1 species